UACGGGAGGCAGCAGUGGGGAAUAUUGCACAAUGGGCGCAAGCCUGAUGCAGCCAUGCCGCGUGUAUGAAGAAGGCCUUCGGGUUGUAAAGUACUUUCAGUCGUGAGGAAGGUGUUAAGGUUAAUAACCUUAGCAAUUGACGUUAGCGACAGAAGAAGCACCGGCUAACUCCGUGCCAGCAGCCGCGGUAAUACGGAGGGUGCGAGCGUUAAUCGGAAUUACUGGGCGUAAAGGGCACGCAGGCGGUUAAUUAAGUUGGAUGUGAAAUCCCCGGGCUUAACCUGGGAAUGGCAUUCAAGCUGGUUAGCUAGAGUCUUGUAGAGGGGGUAGAAUUCCAUGUGUAGCGGUGAAAUGCGUAGAGAUGGUGGAGGAAUACCGGUGGCGAAGGCGGCCCCUGGACAAAGGCUGACGCUCAUGUGCGAAAGCGUGGGGAGCGAAAC
rnacentral:rRNA from 1 species